rnacentral:rRNA from 1 species
CUACGGGUCGCUGCAGUGAGGAAUAUUGCACAAUGAGGGGAACCCUGAUGCAGCAACGCCGCGUGGGGGAUGACGCAUUUCGGUGUGUAAACUCCUUUUAUAUGUCAAGAAAAUGACGGUAGCAUAUGAAUAAGCACCGGCUAACUCCGUGCCAGCAGCCGCGGUAAUACGGAGGGUGCAAGCGUUACUCGGAAUCACUGGGCGUAAAGGACGUGUAGGCGGGUUGGAAAGUCAGGUGUGAAAUCCUACAGCUUAACUGUAGAACUGCACUUGAAACUUCUAAUCUAGAGUAUGGGAGGGGGAGAUGGAAUUAGUGGUGUAGGGGUAAAAUCCGUAGAUAUCACUAGGAAUACCUAAAGCGAAGGCGAUCUCCUGGAACAUUACUGACGCUAAGGCGUGAAAGCGUGGGGAGCAAACAGGAUUAGAUACCCCCGUAGUC